AAGCUCUGGAAAGCGGGCCGGGAAAACCGGCUCCACCGACGAUGUAAGCCCAGGCUCCUGGGUGAAUCUUUCAGGUUCCAAGACAGAGGGGGGCAC
rnacentral:ncRNA from 1 species